rnacentral:rRNA from 1 species
AUUGAACGCUGGCGGCAGGCCUAACACAUGCAAGUCGAGCGGAUGAAGGGAGCUUGCUCCUGGAUUCAGCGGCGGACGGGUGAGUAAUGCCUAGGAAUCUGCCUGGUAGUGGGGGAUAACGUCCGGAAACGGGCGCUAAUACCGCAUACGUCCUGAGGGAGAAAGUGGGGGAUCUUCGGACCUCACGCUAUCAGAUGAGCCUAGGUCGGAUUAGCUAGUUGGUGGGGUAAAGGCCUACCAAGGCGACGAUCCGUAACUGGUCUGAGAGGAUGAUCAGUCACACUGGAACUGAGACACGGUCCAGACUCCUACGGGAGGCAGCAGUGGGGAAUAUUGGACAAAGGGCGAAAGCCUGAUCCAGCCAUGCCGCGUGUGUGAAGAAGGUCUUCGGAUUGUAAAGCACUUUAAGUUGGGAGGAAGGGCAGUAAGUUAAUACCUUGCUGUUUUGACUUUACCAACAGAAUAAGCACCGGCUAACUUCGUG